CAGUCGCCGCGGGAACACGUAGGGUGCAAGCGUUAAUCGGAAUUACUGGGCGUAAAGCGUGCGCAGGCGGUGAUGUAAGACAGAUGUGAAAUCCCCGGGCUCAACCUGGAAACUGCAUUUGUGACUGCAUCGCUGGAGUGCGGCAGAGGGGGAUGGAAUUCCGCGUGUAGCAGUGAAAUGCGUAGAUAUGCGGAGGAACACCGAUGGCGAAGGCAAUCCCCUGGGCCUGCACUGACGCUCAUGCACGAAAGCGUGGGGAGCAAACAGGAUUAGAUACCCCUGUAGUCCCUGUCUCUUAUAC
rnacentral:rRNA from 1 species